AUGAAGACCUUUUUCAGCAAGCAGACUGUCGACAUUCCAGAAAAUGUUGACAUCACUCAGGAGGAGCACACAGUCAUUGUGAAGGGCCACAGGGGAACACUACGGGGGAAAUUCAAUCACAUCAUGUAGAACUGAGCCUUCUUGGAAAGAAAAUAAAAGUCUCUGUGUUGACAAAUGGUGUGGUAACAGAAAGGAACUGGCCACUAUCAGAACCAUCUGCAGUCACGUUCAGAACAUGAUCAAGGGUGGUACACUGGGUUUCUGUUACAAGAUGAGGUCUGUGUAUGCUCACGUCCCAAUCAAUGUCGUUAUUCAGGAAAACGGGUCUUUGGUUAAAAUCUGAAAUUUCUUGGGUAAAAAAUACAUCCACAGGUUUCAGAUAAGGACCAAUGUUGCUUGUUCUGUCUCUCAAUCCCAGAAGAAUGAAAUAAUUCUUGAAGGAAACAAUAUUGAACUCGUUUCAAAUUCAGCCACUCAUAUUCAGCAAACCACAACAGUUAAAAAACGAUGAUACCAGGAAGUUUUUGGAUGGCAUCUAUGUGUCUGAGAAGGGAGCCUUGCAGCAGGCUGA
rnacentral:lncRNA from 1 species